UACGAAGGGUGCAAGCGUUACUCGGAAUUACUGGGCGUAAAGCGUGCGUAGGUGGUUCGUUAAGUCUGAUGUGAAAGCCCUGGGCUCAACCUGGGAAUGGCAUUGGAUACUGGCGGACUGGAGUGCGGUAGAGGAUGGCGGAAUUCCCGGUGUAGCAGUGAAAUGCGUAGAGAUCAGGAGGAACACCUGUGGUGUAGACAGCUUACUGGACGAUAACUGACGCUGAGGCACGAAAGCGUGGGUAGCAAACAGG
rnacentral:rRNA from 1 species